GCCAGUGGUAGUUUGAUAGGGAUUGCAUUGAAUCUGUAGAUUGCUUUGGGUAGUAGAGUCAUUUUCACAAUGCUGAUUCUUCCAAUUCAAGAACACGAUAUAUCUCUCCAUCUAUUUGUAUCAUCUUUAAUUUCUGUCAUCAGUCUUAUAAUUUUCUGCAUACAGGUUUUUUGUCUCCUUAGGUAGGUUUAUUCCUAGAUAUUUUAUUCUUUUUGUUGAAAUGGUAAAUGGGUGUGUUUUGUUCAUUUCACUUUCAGAUUGUUCAUCAUUAGUGUAUACGAAUGCUAGAGAUUUCUGUGAAUUAAUUUUGUAUCCUGCUACUUUACCAAAUUCAUUGAUUAGCUCUAGUAGUUUUCUGGAAGCAUCUUUAGGAUUCUCUAUGGAUAGUAUCAUGUUAUCUGCAAACAGUAACAGCUUUACUUCUUCAUUUCCAAUUUUUAUUCCUUUUAUUUCUUUUUCUUCUCUGAUUGCUGUGGCUAAAACUUCCAAAACUAUGUUGAAUAAUAGUGGUGAGAGUGAGCAACCUUGUCUUGUUCCUGAUGUUAGUUGGAAAUGCUUUCAGUUUUUCACCAUUGAAGACGAUGUUGGCUGUGGGUUUGUCAUAUAUGACCUUUAUUAUGUUGAAAAAAGUUCCCUCUAUGCCUACUUUCCAGAGGAUUUUUAUCAUAAAUGAGUGUUGAAUUUUGUCAAAAGCUUUCUCUGCAUCUAUUGAGAUGAUCAUAUGGUUUUUCUCCUUCAGUUUGUUAAUAUGGUGUAUCACAUUGGUUGAUUUGCAUAUAUUGAAAAAUCUUUGCAUUACUGGGGUAAACCCCACUUAAUCAUGGUGUAUGAUCCUUUUAACGUGCUGUCAGAUUCUGUUUGCUAGUAUUUUGUUGAGGAUUUUUGCAUCUAUAUUCAUCAGUGAUAUUGGCCUGUAGUUUUCUUUCUUUGUGACAUCUUUGUCUGGUUUUGGUAUCAGGGUGAUGGUGGCCUUGUAGAAUGUGUUUGGGAGUGAUCCUCCCUCUGCUAUAUUUUGGAAGAGUUUGAGGAUAGGUGUUAGCUCUUCUCUAAAUGUUUGAUAGAAUUCACCUAUGAAGCCAUCUGGUCCUGGGCUUUUGUUUGUUGGAAGAUUUUUAAUCACAGUUUCAAUUUCAGUGCUUGUGAUUGGUCUGUUCAUAUUUUCUAUUUCUUCCUGGUUCAGUCUCAGAACAUUGUGCAUUUGUAAGAAUUUGUCCAUUUCUUCCAGGUUGUCCAUUUUAUUGGCAUAGGGUUGCUUGUAGUAAUCUCUCAUGAUGCUUUGUAUUUCUGCAGUGUCAAUUGUUACUUCUCCAUCUUCAUUUCUAAUUCUAUUGAAUUGAGUCUUCUCUCUUUUUUUCUUGAUGAGUCUGGCUAAUGGUUUAUCAAUUUUGUUUAUCUUCUCAAAGAACCAGCUUUUAGUUUUAUUGAUCUUUGCUAUUGUUUCCUUCAUUUCUUUUUCAUUUAUUUCUGAUCUGAUCUUUAUGAUUUCUUUCCUUCAGCUAAGUUUGGGGUUUUUUGUUCUUCUUUCUCUAAUCGCUUUAGGUGUAAGGUUAGAUUUUUUAUUUGAGAUGUUCCUUGUUUCUUUUGUUUUUGUUUUUGUUUUUGCAGUACGCGGGCCUCUCACUGUUGUGGCCUCUCCCGUUGCAGAGCACAGGCUCCGGACGCGCAGCCUCAGCGGCCGUGGCUCACGAGCCCAGCCACUCGCGACAUGUGGGAUCUUCCUGGACCGGGGCACAAACCCGUGUCCCCUGCAUCGGCAGACGGACUCUCAACAACUGCGCCACCAGGGAAGCCCUGUUCCUUGUUUUUUAAGUACACGGGUCUCCCAUUGUUGUGGCUUCUCCCAUUGUGGAGCACAGGCUCCGGACGCGCAGGCUCAGCAGCCAUGGCUCACGGGUCCAGCUGCUCUGCGGCAUGUGGGAUCCUCCCUGACCGGGGCACAAACUCGUGUCCCCUGCAUCGGCAGGCGGACUCUCAACCACUGCACCACCAGCUGGGAGGUCUCUGGUGGACCAAUGUCCUGAAAUCGCCUCUCCCACCUCAGAGGCACAAGCCUGACACCUGGACGGAGCACCAAGACCCUGUCAGCCAUACGGCCAGGAGAAGCCGGCUGCCAUGACAUGAGAAUGCUCAAGCUUCACUAGGGGAAAGUUAACAUGGCAAGAACCUGAGGCCUCCUGCCAAGGGGCAAGGAUGAAACUGGGGUUUUCUGUCAACAGUCAGCCUUAAGAUGAUCACAGUCCUUGCUGACAUCUUAACUGUAACUUCAUGAGAGACCCUGAGCCAGAAUUACCCAGCUAGGCUGCUCCUGAAUUCCUAAACCACAGCAGAAAUUGUGAGAUAAGUGUUUAUUAUUUAAUCUUCUAGAUUUGGGGGCAAUUUCUUACAUAACAAUAGGUAACUAAAAUACUGACAGACCUUCCAAAUAAAGUGCCAAUUUUGUUCAGAAUAAAUUAAUAAAAUGAAUAUCCCAAUUAUCCUAUGGUUUUCCAGAAGUAGUUAUGUAAUAAAUAGUUCAUAACAAUACUAUUGUCACAUAGUAAGCUUAAGAAUAAUAUUAUUUGUUGAGUAUUUAAUAUGUACUAUGAAUUUUACCAGUGAAAAAACUUAGCCUUUGAGUACUAUGCCUAAUCUAUUAAGAGUAACUAGCUUUUGAAUUCAUGUCCCUCUAAGUACACAUCCCACGCACUUAACUAUUCUCUUACUCUGCAAGACCUUCAAAUUUUUGAAAACUUUGUCUCUGUUUAUUUCUUUUAUUUCUAGACUAUCUCAAGUUCCUUUGAUCUUUUCUCUUUCAGUCUUCUUACUAUCCUAAUCUACUUCCUCUGAAUGCACUUAAGUUUGACAAUGUUCCGUUUAACAUUUAGUCCCCAGAAUUGAAAACAAUAAUGUGAUAUGAUCAGUACAAAGUAUCAUAAGAUUAUUACUUCUCAUUAUUUACAAAAUGUACUCAUAGAUAAAGCCUGAGUUCACUAGCUACAUCACACCCUAGACUUGUAUUAAGACCAUGAUCAAUUAAAACUUGCAAGUCUUCCACAUGAACUGUGGCCAUAUGAAGAUUUCCUUCUUUAUCUACAUGCUGGCCUUUAAUUCAAUAGAGAUACUGCCAAGAAAAUAAAAAGGCAAGCCACAGACUGAAAUAUUUUUAAAACACAUAUCCAUCAAAGGAGUUUUAUCCAGAAUAUGCUAAGAACUCGUAUCCCUCAAUCUCUGUAAUAAUGAAAAGCAAAAACCAAUUUAAAAUGGGCAAAAUAUUUGAACAUGCACUUCUCCAUAGAAGAAAAAUGGAUGGCAAACUGGUAUACAUAAAAAGAUGCUCAACAUCAUUAGUCAUUAGUAAAAUAUAAUAUAAAACUACAAUUAAAUACCACUACACACAUACUAAAAUGGCUGAAAUUUAAAAGGCUGACCAUACCAAGUGUUGGUGAGGAUAUAGAGCAACUGGAAUGCUCAUACACUGCUGUUAAGAAUGUAAAAUGAUACAACUGUUGGCUGUUGUCCGAAUGGCCAUUGUUUUUCAUUGUUGGAAACAGUUUGGCAUUUUCUUAAAAAGUUAAAUAUUCACCUACCAUACAACCCAGCUAUUCUACUUCUAGGUAGUUACCAAAGAGAAAUGAAAGAAUUAGUCCACAAAAAGAUUUGUACAAAAAUGCUUAAACAGGAUCAUUUGUAAUAUCUCAGAUCAUUUGGAAGAUCAUUUGUAAUUGUAAUGGAUAAGCAAGUUGUGAUAUAAUGGAAUACCAUUCAGCAAUAAAUUAACUAUUGAUACAUGCAACAACAUGGGAAAAAAUCAAAAUAAUUAUGCCAAGUGAAACAAACUAGACAAAAAGUGCAAUAUUGUACUAUUCCACUAACAUAAAAUUCUAGAAAAUGCAAACUAAUAUUUCAUGACAGAAAUUAGAUCAGUGGGUGCAGUCAGAUAGGGCUGUAGAGUUGCAUAGGACUACAAAGUGGCAUGUGGAAACUUCUGAAAUGAAAGCGAUGAAAAUGUUUGUUUUCUUCAUUAUGGUGAUGAAUUCACAGAUUUAUACAUCAUCAGAUUAUGAAUUUUAAAUAUAUGCAGUGCAUUGUAUAUCAAUUAUAUCUAAUAAAUAAGUCUGUUUUUAAAAUAUAAAUGAGUUAGAUCUACCUAUACUAGCCUAGAAAGAGUCCACGAUGUCAGGGCAGCAUUAUUCAUAACAGCCAAAAAGUGGAAACAAUCCAGAUGUCCAGCAAUUGAUGGAUAAAUAAAUAAAAUAUGUUAUAUCCAUAUAGUGGAGUAUUAUUUAGCAAUAAAAGUUAUACUAUUUAGCAAUAAAAGAAGUACUGAUACUUCUUUUAUGCAACAUGCAUGCCUAGAGCUCAAUGCAUGCUCAGAAAAAGACCUGAGUGGACCCUAAGCUUGCACCUCUAAGGCUGAUCUUUAGGGUCUGCACAAGCAGGAAGUAAAAAGCUAAGACAGAAUUAGGUGGCCUGUCCAAGCACUGAAGGACUGUCUCUGCUCAGAGCCAAUCUGAGAAAAUAAGGAGAGUGUGGCGGGUUUUUUUUUUUUCUUUUUGGCUCCAGGCACUUAGGGAAAUCUCUGUCAGGUCACUAACUGACCACUGAUAUAAUGCAACAGAGAUUCAGUAACCACACACAAAUAAGAAAUAUAGUCUUUGCAAAAAGAGUAUGGGAAUGUCACUAGAGAAAUGGAUGAUUGUAGUCAUCAACAAGCCACAACAGCAAACUCUGGGGAGGGAGGAGAAUCUGCUUUCCAGAGUUAUAAUAUCAAAAUGUUCACUUUUUGACAAAAAAAAUCACAAGGUAUACAAAGAAACAGUAAAGUAUGGCCCAUUCAAAGGAAAAAGGUAACAGAAACAUUCCCUGAGGCAGCCCAGGCAUACUAGGCAGAGACUGUAAGUCAGCUAUCUUAAAUAUACUCAAAAGCUAAAGGAAACCAUGGGCAAAGAACUAAUAAAAAAAAGCAGAAGAACAAUAUAUGGAUAGAGAAUAUCAAUAAGGAGACAGAAAUUAUAAAAAGAAACCAAAUAGAAACUCUGGAGCUAAAAAGUACAAUAGCUAAAAUGAAAUUCAUUAGAAGGGUUAAGAGCAGACUUGAAUAGGCACAAUAAAGAUCAGCAAACUUGAAGAUAGGACAACAGAAAUUAUCCAGUCUGUGGAGCAGAAAGAAAAAGAAUGAAAAAAAUAAAAUUAACAGAGCCAAAGGGACUGUGGGACACCAUUAAAUAUCUCAUCACGUGAGAGUCCCAGAAGAGAAAAAGGGACAGAAAGAAUCUUUGAAGAAAUAAUGGCCAAAGACUGCCCAAAUUUAAUGAAAGACAUGAAUCUAUACAUCCAUGAAGCUCAACAGACUACAAGUAGGAUGAAGUCAAAGAGAUUCACACCAGGACACAUUAUAAUAAAACUGUCAAAAACUUGCUGAGAGAUUCAGCAAGCAGCAAGAGAAAAGUGACUUGACAUGUUCAAGAGCUUCUUAAAAAGAUUAACAGCCUAUUUGUCAUCAGAAAUCAUGGUAGCCAGAAGGCAGUGGAAUAACAUAUUUUAAAUGUUCAAAGGGAAAAAAAACUGUCACCCAAAAAUUCUAUACCUGGAAAAGCUAUUCUUCAAAAAUUAGGGAGGAAUUAAGACAUUCUAGAUUUUAAAAAAAGCUGAGGGAGUUCACUGCUAGCAAACCAGCCCUUUAAGAAAUGCUAAAGGGGGCUUCCCUGUUGGCACAGUGGUUAAGAAUCCGCCUGCCAAUACAGAAAAUGUGGGUUCAAGCCCUGGUCCAGGAAGAUCCCACAUGCCACAGAACAACUAAGCCCAUACGCCACAACUACCGAGCCUGCGCUCUAGAGCCUGCAUGCCACAAGUAUUGAAGCCCACGUGCCUAGAGCCCAUGCUCCGCAACAAGAGAAGCCACCGCAAUGAGAAGCCUGCACACCACAACGAAGAGUAGUCCCCACUCACCGCAACUAGAGAAAAGCCCAUGCGCAGCAACAAAGACCCAACGUAGCCAAAAAUAAAUAAAUAAAUAAAUAAUUUUUUUUAAAAAAAGAAAAAGAAAUGCUAAAGGGACUCCUUCGAGUGAGAGAGUGGCAUGGACAUAUAUACACUACCAAAUGUCAAAUAGAUAGCUAGUGGGAAGCAGCCUCAUAGCACAGGGAGAUCAGCUCAGUGCUUUGUGUCCACCUAGAGGGGUGGAAUAGGGACGGUGGGAGGGAGAUGCAAGAGAGAGGAGAUAUGAGGAUAUAUGUAUAUGUAUAGCUGAUUCACUUUGUUAUACAGCAGAAACUAACACACCAUUGUACAGCAAUUAUACUCCAAUAAAGAUGUUAAAAAAUUUUAAGAAUAAAGGGACUCCUUCAGGGAAAUGAAAGGACAUUAGACAAUAACUGAAAGCCAUAUAAAGAAAGCAAGAAUGCCAGUAGAGGUAACUACAUACGUAAGUGUAGAAGUCAGUAUUAUGAUAUUUUUGGUUUGUUACUCUUCUUUUGUUUCUUAUAUGAUUUAAAAUACAUAAAAUUAUUUAUUUAUAUACUAUUUGUAAAUAUAUGUUAAUAGGCAAUAAUGUAUAAUGACAUAAUCUGUGACAAUAACAAAAUAAAAUGGGGAGACAAAGC